rnacentral:misc_RNA from 1 species
AGAGAAAGUAAGACGACUGAAUUAUGGGGUUUUUAAGCAUGCGUUUUGCUAAUGCUGUCAUUAUUUUAUUAUCGAUUAGAGUCUCGUAGCUCAGCCGGUUAGAGCGCUACACUGAUAAUGUAGAGGUCGGCAGUUCGAGUCUGCCCGAGACUACAACGAUAAUGGGAAUUUAUAGUUGAGAGUUCUACAUUUUAGAUUCUUUUCAGAUUCAGAAUGGGGAAUUAGCUCAGCUGGCUAGAGCACUUGAUUUGCAUUCAAGAGGUCGUGGGUUCGACUCCCACAUUCUCCACAAGUUUUUAACUUAAACGAUCAUUGACAUAUUGAAAAAUUUUUAUAUCACAAGCACCAGUUAUCCAAUUUGUGUUUGUGAUUAUAGAUACACUACAAGGUAUAAAUUGGUUUUUAACCAAUUUGGUACGAGCAUAAUAAUAAUAAAUACAAUUUCAAAAGAAAAGUAAAGUUAC